rnacentral:piRNA from 1 species
UACUAGAGUGAGGUGCAGCUGG